rnacentral:lncRNA from 1 species
GAAUGAGGAUUGGGUUUUCACCAGGAUGAAGAAACAGAGGAUGGGCAGGAUUAGAAAUAUGAUCGGUGGUGGAAGAUGAGAGAGCCAUGAGAAGAGAACAAAGCAGAAGAUGAAGAAAAGGGGCAAAGGAAGAACCCUAAUUAUUUUCUUUCUUUUGAUACCAUGUGAGUGUUUGAGAAAAGAAAGAAAACAAAGAACUCAAGAGAAAAGCAAAAAUAUGAAUGAAUGAAUUUAAUCAAGAGUAAGUAGAAUUACAGUGGAAUCAAACUUUUAUAUAUAUA